ensembl:lincRNA
UUUUGGUAAAUCUUUAUACAUGGGAAUUACUGCUCCUGAAUCUCAUUCAAACACUUUUCACAAUUAUAUUCUUUCUUGAUUAUUCUAAACCACACUUUACUAGCACAGAAAAAAUUAAGUCAAAGACUCACUGAGAAAAAGUGGUUUGACCAAAAAAAAAAAAAAAAAAAAAAGCCUCAAUUGUUUCUGAGUGUUUCCUGUGCACCCCCACCUCUUUUGACCUGCUAGGUAAGGUGCUCCCCGUUGAGAAGCAGAUUUCACUAAAAUUCCAACUUAACUUCCCCUCCACAGUUGGGGUCCUUCCCCUGGAUGGAGGCUGAAGACACUCCUACCUACCCGGCCUUCUAUACAGAGCGUACAAAGGGGAAGAGCAACCCAGCCCUGGCCCCAGAGUGGCCUGAGUGGGAAUCACGAUCGCUGUGCAUCGUGUUGGUAGUGCCAAGCCAGGCUUCACGGACAAGUUCAGGAGACAGAGGACCUGGCUGCAGGUCAGUAGGGAAGCAGGCAGGGGUGGAAAUCAUGUCCCUGUCCCAACACAACAAAUACCGUCCGUUUAAGCCGAGUGAAUGGCUGAAGCCAACACAGAGCAGCUUUUGUCAUCCAGAGAGGGAUGGAGCAAAGAACGUGCAUGCGGGCCCAGCCUGCUCGGCAGGAGCUGGAAAGACCACGCCUGCGUGGGGAAAAGUCAGAACUGAGGCUCUGGCCCUGUGUUGGCCUUGUGGACCUGACAGCGCUUUUUGGCCCCGCCCAGAAUUAGGUGCGUACCCUGUUGGACCCUGGGUGGGAAGGGCUGUUGCGGGAAACCUCCUUUAGAGGCCCCUAGGCGUAUUCUGGUUGUCUAACCGCGUGGCUCUUCACUGCUCUGGGACCUCACGUGAGCUAAUCAGUCCUGCAAAGCCCUGCAGAACUUGGGAGAACUGGAUAGCGCUGACAUGCAAUGGGAAAGCAGCAACUGGUCAGCAAAUGUCAGCGGUCUUCUGGGGCGUGAUGCUGUUUGAGGUCCGGACUGAGCACUUGCCCUUGCUAAAGCAUGAAAUCCAAGUGCCUGUGGAAGCCUGGGAGCGGUCAGGCUUGGGGAUCCGCUUCCUGAAGGAUUGUUUAGAAAGCACAGCAGUCUGGGGAGAGGCAAGCCCGGGUAGAUGCCUCAAAGCUGUCACCUCCGAUAGCACAAGCUCUUUGCUUGUUAGGGAGAGAAGAGUGCCAGGCUUUUAUCAUUCAUCGCCAGAAUGCUCCACCAAUCACUGAGGAUUAGACAACAGCAUCCAGAAUGCUGAGAGAGGAGACAGAAUAUGAAUGUGUGCACACACAGGAUGCUCCUGGUGCUGCCGGGUGGCGGUGGCGUUGGCCACCAGGGUGCGCUGCUAGGGCCAUUCCUGAGUUGGGGUGGUAGGGGUGCUACACAGGGAGAUGGCAUUUAUUUAUUUAUUUAUUACUAAGAAGUGUCUAGCACACUGCCUUGACUAUACUACAUGCUUAAGUUAGAGGGGUGAUUUUCCGAAAGAGUUCAGAAUGAUCUGUGCUUGUUAAUCAGUGCGGAAUCCAGGGAGAUUGCUGUUCAAAGGUCUGUUCCUGGGGUGUGG